GAUGAAGAACGCAGCGAAAUGCGAUAAGUAAUGUGAAUUGCAGAAUUCAGUGAAUCAUCGAAUCUUUGAACGCACAUUGCGUCCCCUGGUAUUCCGGGGGGCAUGCCUGUUCGAGCGUCAUUUCACCACUCAAGCCUCGCUUGGUAUUGGGCAACGCGGUCCGCCGCGUGCCUCAAAUCGACCGGCUGGGUCUUCUGUCCCCUAAGCGUUGUGGAAACUAUUCGCCAAAGGGUGUUCGGGAGGCUACGCCGUAAAACAACCCCAUUUCUAAGGUUGACCUCGGAUCAGGUAGGGAUACCCGCUGAACUUAAGCAUAUCAAUAAGCGGAGGA
rnacentral:misc_RNA from 1 species